GUGAGAAAGAUCAGGGUGGGCCAGAUUAGCCAGGGAAGGCUUCUUGGCAAAAGAAACUCAGAAACCCUGUUCUCACAGAUGGGUUUGGAUUUGGGAUGGUAAAAGAAAUGAGCAGUGAGGACAUCAACCUGGGCCAGUGGAAGGAGGGAGCCUGGUGGAGUGGGUGACAAGGGUGCCAAGCUUAGAAACAGAGCUCCACACAAGCCUGGAAAGAAUGCUCGUGGUAGUGGCAGGCAGUGACAGCACGGGUCUGUGUGCCUUGGGAUCUCCUGGUCAGCUCUAGCAGCCCGUGAGCAGAUCACCCCGAGAGGCUUCUCCACCCGCUGGAUGGAGCAGAGCCCAUGCAGAGAGCUGGAAAAGGCAGGUUUAGGGCUGGAUGCCUUUGAGAGAAGCUCAUUUGACAUUAUGCCUCUCAGGCAGCAUUUGCCCCACGCCUUGGUUUUACAUAAAACCCGAAUAGCCUUCCAGAUCACCCACCGCCACAGGCCACGCACCGUCUUCUACCCCGACGGCGGGUAAGCAAAGUCAUGGCCACAGAAGGCGGCUGAAAUAAAAUGUGUAAUUGUGCUCCAAGACACCUUAA